UACGGGGGGGGCAAGCGUUGUUCGGAAUUACUGGGCGUAAAGGGCUCGUAGGCGGUCUGUUGCGUCGGGAGUGAAAACUCAGGGCUUAACCCUGAGGCUGCUUCCGAUACGGGCAGACUAGAGGUAUGCAGGGGAGAACGGAAUUCCUGGUGUAGCGGUGAAAUGCGCAGAUAUCAGGAGGAACACCGGUGGCGAAGGCGGUUCUCUGGGCAUUACCUGACGCUGAGGAGCGAAAGUGUGGGGAGCGAACAGG
rnacentral:rRNA from 1 species